CGCGCGAUCCAGCGCCAGAUUGAGCGCCAGCACAUUCACGCGCGGUUCGCCGAGCAGCCCUGCAAAACGGCCUUCCACGUUAUCGUUAACCAGUUUGCGCACUGCAUCCNNNNUCGCGACCCGAGGGACCUGAAACAGCGCGGCCUCCGGAGAGAUGUGGGGAUCGAGGCCGCUGCCCGUGGUCAUGACCAGAUCCGCCGGGACCGGCACCGAUGGGUU
rnacentral:misc_RNA from 1 species